CGGCAAAAGCUCAAAUUUGAAAUCUGGUACCUUCGGUGCCCGAGUUGUAAUUUGUAGAAGGUAACUUUGGGGCUGGUCCUUGUCUAUGUUCCUUGGAACAGGACGUCAUAGAGGGUGAGAAUCCCGUGUGGCGAGGAUCCCAGUUCUAUGUAAAGUGCUUUCGAA
rnacentral:rRNA from 1 species